rnacentral:lncRNA from 1 species
GGGAAUUUUGUUGAAUAUGUAAACUAUUUCAUAACGAAUUUUCCAAGAUUUGACAUGAAAAUCCACUUAUCCACCUGCAAGUAAAUACCUAGCAUGACACAAUUUUAAGGUGUGAUGAUGGUCAAAUCUAGCAAAAAUGAAAAGUCAUUUUUCCAUAAUAAUGGAUCUUACAUAUCACCCUGCUCCUGGUAAACUGCAACAAAUAAAUCCAUGUGUUCUUUACAUAUUGCUUCUUAUAUAUAUCGUAGAUAGAAUGACAUUACGUUGUAUCGUUCCGUCAUUGAAAUAUUAACUAACUGUAAUAUAGGUAUGAUCUUUACAAUUGGAACAGACAAUCUCUCUCGUUGGUUGAAGAAAUAAACAACAAUGUAGACUGGUAAAAAGAUUAUAAACUGGAAUCCAUCAGAGACGGAGCUAGCUAUCAGAAUUAUAACCUGAUCUGUUAAUCAUAAAAUUAUUAUUGCUUCAGCAAGCCAAGUCUUUUUCUUCCACCUUUCAUAGCUUUAUUUGAUCAUCUGGCAAUUCAAAGUGGGAUCGAGGCAUCAAGCUAUUUGUAGUGUUCUUUUCUCUUUAUCUUAUACAUCUGAAACUACCAUCUGAACUGAAUUGUUGGUGACCACAUUCUUUUGCAUCACUUUCAUGAUCUUUCAGCCAAAAAAAAAAAAAAAAAAACACAGAUCCCUGCUGAAAGUUAAAUCAUUAAAAUAAAUUGCCCAAACCAACCUUAGAAUUACCAAGUACUAACGCGUGUAGCAGAUGUAACUGAAACGAAUUUGAUCUGAUUGUUGCCGAUUUAAAGCAGAUCCAAGAUCCCAACCGACAUGUGAAGCCAAAUGAAAGCAUAUAUAUAUGCACAUCCCAUAUUCCAUUAAAAUCAAACAGUUAUAUCUGAUCCCUCCACCAGAUAGAAAGAAUGUUUAGCUUUUGCUAUUUAUUGAUUUCUGAUUGUCAUUUCUGCUGGAAUUAAUUAAUUUUAUGCAGCUACCAUGUGCAUCUAAAACAUGACAUAUGCUAGAAACCAAUCUACUUUUUCUGUAAGAUUGGAAACAGUUGGAAAUGCUUAUCAUGCA